GCGCUCUGUUACAGGUCCUUACAGCUGCUAACAGUCCCUAGAAUCAGACAACUGUUAACAGUGUGGGCUCCAGGUAUAUGUCAGUCACAGGGCCAAACAGGACAAGACAGCCUCUAACCCAGUGUCUAACUGGCUGUUAUGCCACGUUGACAACUAUCGUCAGCAGCUGAUAAUGAGCCCGUCUAACAGCUCCACCUAAGAAGUUAGACGCU
rnacentral:lncRNA from 1 species